UGUAUUACUGGGCCUUAGAAUAGCAGGAUAUAACGUAUAAAAAGAAAAGUACAAGACAGGCUGAAUUCAGGAAUACAGAGUAUACAUAAACGUUUGGGUAAGCCAAAGGUCAAGGAAUACAGAAGUCAGAAUAGUCAGGAAACGAUCCAAAGUCCAAGGGAUACAGAAAUCAGAAUAGUCAGUGAGAAAGCCAAGGUCAAAAUACACAAGAAUCAAUACCAGAAACACGCUCUCAGAUAACCACAAUGGAAACCACAAC